CCUAGCCCCGUCUCAGCCCCUGCGCUAGCCGGCAGUCCCCUCCCACGGCCGCGUUCAUUUCAUACCAACUCUCAUUCCUCGCAUUCCUCACUUCCUCCUUUCAAACUCCACGGGAAAUAAAAACCCUCCCUUUUCCUUCCGAACUCCUGCCCGACCGUGGCCGUCGCUGCCGCCGCCCGGGUUCGCCGUCCCGCCAUCCGCUCCCGCGCUCCUCAGAGGAACUGGGCUGUUAUUGUAGUGGCUUGUUGAAUUUCCCGGACUUCUUCCUUUGGUUCUGAGUCUGCUUCUCCGUGUCGCACCUUGGAGUUUCUAGCUGGCACCAUUACCUCCAACGAGUGGAGUUCUCCCACCUCCCCUGAGGGGAGCAACGACUCAGGGGGCAGUGAGGCCUUGGACAAACCUAUUGACAAUGACGCUGAGGGUGUGUGGAGUCCGGACAUUGAGCAGAGCUUCCAGGAAGCGCUAGCCAUCUACCCACCAUGUGGACGGCGGAAGAUUAUCUUGUCAGACGAAGGCAAGAUGUAUGGCCGAAAUGAGCUGAUUGCCCGCUAUAUUAAGCUGAGAACAGGGAAAACACGCACAAGGAAACAGGUAUCUAGUCACAUCCAGGUCCUGGCAAGGCGGAAAGCUAGAGAGAUCCAAGCCAAGCUCAAGGAUCAGGCAGCUAAAGAUAAAGCCAUGCAGAGUAUGGCUACAAUGUCAUCUGCCCAGAUUAUCUCUGCAACUGCCUUCCAUAGUAAAAUGGCCUUGCCUGGUCUCCCACGACCUGCCUACCCUGCUGUUUCUGGGUUUUGGCAAGGAGCUUUGCCAAGCCAAGCUGGAUCUUCCCAAGAUGUGAAACCUUUUUCUCAACAACCUUAUGCUGUACAGCCUCCAUUACCAUUACCAGGGUUUGAGUCUUCUACUGGCCUCUCACCUUCCCCAUCAUCACCAGCUUGGCAAGGACGAAGGGUUGCUAGCUCCAAACUUUGGAUGUUAGAAUUCUCUGCGUUCUUGGAACAACAACAAGACCAAGACACAUAUAACAAACACCUGUUUGUGCACAUUGGGCAGUCAAGUGCCACCUACAGUGACCCCUACCUCGAGGCAGUGGAUAUUCGGCAGAUCUAUGACAAGUUCCCUGAGAAAAAAGGGGGCCUGAAGGAGCUCUUUGAAAAGGGGCCAGCUAAUGCCUUCUUCCUUGUCAAAUUCUGGGCUGAUUUGAACACCAAUAUUGAAGAUGAAUCCAGAUCUUUCUAUGGCGUUUCCAGCCAGUAUGAGAGCCGAGAAAACAUGGUCAUUACCUGUUCCACCAAAGUGUGUUCCUUUGGAAAGCAGGUGGUAGAGAAAGUGGAGACAGAGUAUGCACGCUAUGAAAAUGGAUACUAUUCCUAUCGCAUUCACCGUUCCCCUCUCUGCGAAUACAUGAUAAACUUCAUUCAUAAACUCAAGCACCUUCCUGAGAAGUAUAUGAUGAACAGUGUGCUGGAGAACUUUACUAUCUUACAGGAGCCUUUCCAGGCUCAGAUGUUGGCCAAAUUUGGGGAGAGGGCAAAGACAGCUUAAACGAUGGAUUUUCCUUGGGCUGAGUUCUGUGCUUGCCUCUACAACACGCAUCACAGAUCUUCACCCAGAGGAGCUGUGGUUGGGUUGUCACAAACAGGGACACACAGGAGACCUUGCUGUGCAUAGCAUAUGUUUUUGAGGUGUCAACUAGUGACCAUGGUGCCCAGCAUCACAUCUACCGGCUGGUGAAGGACUAGAGACUCUCAGCCCUGAGUCAUCAAUGGGAUGCAUGCCUAAGAAAAAAGCCUGUGCUUGAACAACCCCUGGCCCCUCAUACCAAACUGAAAAAUAAACUGCAUAUAUUGUGUAUUUUCAGAAAAGCA